rnacentral:misc_RNA from 1 species
CUUGGUCAUUGGAAGUAAAAGUCGUAACAAGGUUUCCGUAGGUGAACCUGCGGAAGGAUCAUUAGCAAGAUUGCGGACCUCUGCGCAAGUAGGGGCGAGCAAGUAUGCCAUCCUUGUGUUAUGUAUACACCGUCAAGUGUGUUGUACCUUUGUGCGCGUGUUGCUCUCUCUAUGGGGGAUUUUCAUGCGCACAACUGUGCCCACUGUUUUUACACACCCAUUCUCUCUUUAUUCUUAACCUCUUUUUGCUUGGAAACAAGCAUCAAACAAUCGAAAACUGCCAGCAAUGGAUCACUCGGUUCUC